GUCCUGGAGGGCCCGGAGGCGGCGGCUCCUCAUCCAAAGAAAUGAGGCGACGUUGCGGAGGUCCAGGCGGUUGGCCCGGUGGAGGUCCUGGAGGAGACGGUCCCGGCGGUGGAGGACGGCUGGGGGAUCCGGCGGUGGAGGUCCUAAGGCGGCUCGUGAUUAGACCAACCAGCUCCUCAUCCAUGGAAGUCCGUCGGCCCUGUCCGUGGCGGUUGUCUGGAGGCGCUCGCUGCAGAUCGAGGGAAGGCCGGGAGCCGUGCAGCCCAAGGGAUGCAGAACGAAGGACUGAGGCGGAGGUCCCGGAGGCGGAGGUCCCGG